AGGCCAAAUAGGACGAUAUUAAAAGCCCCAACUGAACUUGUACUCUCUUUUAAUACCUUCCAUGUUCAGUACUAGCACUCGUGCAAAGUCCUCAACUGAGUAGAAGGUUCCAUGAAAGCAAAUAAAGUAGAGGACAACUCUUUGCAAGGAAUGGGGAUCCGCAAACAUAUUUUUAUAGGGGCCAAUAUUUUUUUGUGCAAAGCAGUUAAUUUCUCAUUAGACCUCAUGCACACAACCGUAUAUGGGAUCUUUUCCCUUUCAUUUCUCUGGGGUCUGCAAAUUAUGGAGCUUGUCCUAUUCUUGGCCACAAAAUGUGGUCCCUGACCCUAUUCAAGUCAAUGGAUCUACAAAAAACACAGAUGGCAAUCGGCAUCCCUGUGAGCUAUUUGAAAACUGGGCAGACAAGCCUUAGAAGAGUCAUUAUCUGCACUGUGAGGCCUUGCUCCUCUAUUUGUCCAAAAAUGCCAUGUGUGGACCUUGACAAGUUUAUUAAAUUGGUCCAGGAGAGGGCCGAAUUGUGGGACAUGCGCUGUGACCGGUACCAUGAUCGUGUCUGAAAUUAUACAACAUUGGAGGUGGCACAGGAAUGGUUGCUGUUGCAAUGGGAGAAAUCGAGCCAGGCUCAGUGUCAAAGAAUGGUAAAAGACGUCAAGACCUGUUAUGCUGGGAAUUGACAGAUCAUUCCCUGAAGAAGAGACCAUAUAUGUAUACUCAACAGCUCCAGUUUCUAAGACAUUUUUUUUUUUUAACUCCCAUAUCAAACUGAAAGUAUCAGAUUGGUUGCUAUAGCACUGUUCACGCUCACCUGGUGGAGGAUGUGGAGGAAGACACUGACAAUGAAACACAAAUUGAUGUGCCAGUUAUUACAUAGUCUCUAGCUGCCAGCUCCAGGAUGUCCCAGCCUGCUUCACCUGAAGACCAGCUUGCAGGACCCACACUGCAGCCAGCAGUACCCAGACUGAAGGCUACUCACAUCUCCCAAGCACGAUGAAUAUUGGGGCACCCUCAGCCUGUUUCUGAUACAGGUACUUGGGCCCUGAUUGAUGCUCAGGUGGUCAAGUACCUCAACAGAAACAGGGGUGGGGGUCACGAGGAGACUUUACUGAUGAGCCCUGCCUCCUACAUUCUUUGUGUGGCAUUAGAAUGCCAUUUGCAGUGUAUUGGCCUCAUCACUGCGGUCAUAGAUAUGUAUUUUGGACCUCAGAAGCAGUGGAGAUUCAGCAAUUCGUUGAGCGUGCAAGGAUGAGAAUUAUAUACCAACCAUCUGCAAGCCACUGUAUUCAAGGCCCAGGUCCUCCUGCUCCCAGAGUCCACUACUCCAUAUUACCUCUGUUCUACCAGGAUAGGGAACAUUUUACCCCACUUCAUAGGGCACCUUUCCAUGGAGUUUACUCCACUAGUGGAGGAGAACAUGCAG